UCAAAUGGCACAAGAAGAACACCUCAGGAAACGAUGUGUCCUGGUCGUUACUCGUGGCUUCCAGUAGUUCUAAUGUAACUGUUGGUGAUGGAUUCAAGCUCCAUGGCAACGGGUCUUUACAGCUGCACGGAGGAAGGGCCGAGGAAGUUGUCACUUACAAGUGUGACGUCACUAAGAAUGUUCCAAGUCGAUUGGACAGACACAUUAUUGUCGUGAAAAGUGUUGAAUGUCGAAGAGAAAAGCGUGAAGUUACCGCAGGUUCUCAUGUAAAAACAACCGCUGGUCGUGUUGCUAUGACGACACCCAUUACUGUCACCAUGGAGACAAUCUCUCCUUCGGUUUUCUCUGCUGUCAGUCCUGUGCAUGGUACUAAUAAUAUAUUCUUGGUGUCUGUCAUCAUAAUGGUUUGGCUGCUGAUGAAUCUUAGGGUAAAAUUAUGACCAAGUUGCUGAAGACUGAAUCAGUAUGAAGUCGGGCAAGACUCUUCCCCGUGUGGGAUGAUGUUCCUUCCUGUAACAUGGGAAAGAAAUAACCCUGGACAAUCCUUACGACUCAAGAUUACAGCAGCACCAAAACAAGGGCAAUGAACAGUCCAAUAGCUAUAUAUACCAAUGCGUCCAUCAUAUGAGAAUAACAGUAUGUAACAAAGUCUUUGCUGUUGCUAGUCGGUCAAUUUUCCUAACAUAAGGGAAUACUUCUUCAAUAAUGGCGUCCAGAAGAACAUACGCAAGCUGGGAAACAAAAGCGACCAAGAAUCCGUUGAAGUUUGUGCAAAUGAUGAGAAGUAAUGAAUAAAGAAGGUGGCUGCUCUGUGUGUGACAGAGGCUUUUGAACUCCAGUCCUUCUCGAAAAUCUACGACCGAGAGGCACUGUAGCGAGAGCACCUCUGGAAAUGACCCAGGGUACGUAACGGGUAACAUGGAAAAAAAUCGCGGGCUCAUCAACCCUUUCCUUUAAAAAAUUCCUGUCAUAUGGUUUCGCUAAGGUUUAGAUCAAAAUAAAAAUUAGAAAUCAGGAACAUUUUUUAAAAAAUUUUUGGCAAUUCUUUUAACGCAUGCGCUCUUAUAUCCGAAGUCCAAGAAAUCCUGGUCUUAAAAAAUGGAUUAUGCCAAAGCCCUUGUUCUACGCCGCAGGCCAGAAGAAACGCAGGCUCUAGGUACGAGAUUGACUCACAAUCAGCUUGGACAAUUUUGGCAAAUGCGCAUGCGUUUUUCAGCCCUGCCAGGGUACAAGGGAAGUGAAAAAUGAGGACAGAACACGCAUCGAAAGGAAAGACAAUACGAAGGAUAUCAAAAGACAAAAAUAAAAAGGAAUAAAAAGGGGGUGAGAAUAAAAGGAAAGGGAAAAGAGCGAAUUUGUUACCUGUUUG